CGCGCAGGCGGUCUUGUAAGUCAGAUGUGAAAGCCCGGGGCUCAACCCCGGAAGUGCAUUUGAAACUAUAAGGCUUGAGUAUGGGAGAGGGAAGUGGAAUUCCUGGUGUAGAGGUGAAAUUCGUAGAUAUCAGGAGGAACACCGGUGGCGAAGGCGACUUCCUGGACCAAUACUGACGCUGAGGCGCGAAGGCGUGGGGAGCAAACA
rnacentral:rRNA from 1 species